rnacentral:rRNA from 1 species
UACAGAGGUCUCAAGCGUUUGUUCGGAUUCAUUGGGGCGUAAAGGGUGUGUAGGGUGGCGCCGUAAGUCGGGUGUGAAAUUUCGGAGCUUAACUCCGAAACUGCAUUCGAUACUGCGGUGCUUGAGGACUGGAGAGGAGACUGGAAUUCAUGGUGUAGCAGUGAAAUGCGUAGAGAUCAUGAGGAAGACCAGUGGCGAAGGCGGGUCUCUGGACAGUUCCUGACGCUGGAGGCACGAAGGCCAGGGGAGCAAACGGG